CGGCGGACGGGUGGAGUAAUAGCCUAGGAAGUCUGCCUGGUAGUGGGGGACGAACGUUUCGAAAGGAAACGCUAAUACCGCAUACGUCCUACGGAGAAAGCAGGGACCUUCGGGCCUUGCGCUAUCAGAUGAGCCUAGGUCGGAUUAGCUAGUUGGUGAGGUAAUGGCUCACCAAGGCGACGAUCCGUAACUGGUCUGAGAGGAUGAUCAGUCACACUGGAACUGAGACACGGUCCAGACUCCUACGGGAGGCAGCAGCC
rnacentral:rRNA from 1 species